ensembl:lncRNA
CUCUGGUUCGCUACUGGAAUUAAACAAAAAAUAAAAUUGGCAAAAACAUUUUGUGCCUCAUGACUGACAUGUCACCUGACCUUUCUCCAGGCCAUAAAUUCACACAUCCCUUUCCCAUGAACAGUUGUGCAGUUUAACAUAACUGCACAUUUCACUGAUACAACUUACAGAAAUGUACCUUUUGUACUUAAAAUAUGAAUUAAACAUUUAUCAGCAUUCAAUACACAAACAUACAGCUGACACCUACAUUUCAGAAAAAAGUAUGUCAGUCAUGAAAUGGGAAUAAAGGUAAAAGUGGCAAAGUGCUGUCUAAUUCACAGAAAAGUAUAUUGAAUAUGGUUUUUAAAUGUUUAUUUGAAUAAAUUUAAUUCAACUAAUGUUAAAUUUCUCUCUUUCAGUGUCAGAUUAACAUAUUUAUAAAUAUAAAUUAAAUUCAAGUGCAAAACAUAAUUGUAUUGUGUGUGAUAUGUAUAAACAGGUGAAAGUAGUACUGCAGUAGGAUCCUAUACAUGUAUUCAACAUAUACAGUUCACCAACUUUACAAAAUCAGGCUUUGACUGAACUGUAACUGGUGACAGCAUGGGGAUAGUUCUACUGUUUUGAGAUUAGAGUAUUUGCUCUUUUUUACAUGACUAAGGGACAGAAGAACACCGAAGUUCAUCCUGAGCAGCCAUUAUUUGAGUCUCAAUAUGGAGGGUUUAGCCUGCAGAAGGAGGAGGCUACAGUAAUGAUAACAUCCAAUGAAACACAAUCUCAGCCUUUAAUCAUUAGCAUGUGUUUCAAAGAGACAGAUGGCAGAAGUGAUUAACAAAUAAGAAUAUUUUAUUAAAGCCACAAAACAAAAGGUACGAAACCUGGUUCAGCUGAAAACUUCUCACAAACAGACUUCUCAAAAUUACAUUUGCACUAAAUGUCAAAACAGGGUUGAAAAUGUUUUACUUUUAUGUUCAUGCUUCAUCUGUAUCUUUUUACAACUGAUUUGCUUUCAGUACAAAAAGUCAGCAACAAGUAUCUCAGAAGUUAAAAAUGUUAUUGAAUGUUUUAUAUUUUUAUUGCAUGUCCUAGAUUUCAGUAAGUUUAAAUUUGUGAGCUCUUUCAGAAUGGGGUAUAAUUAAAACAUAGGAAGAAACUUUUACACAAGCUGUGGUUUUAGAAGAAAUCUGCUGCCGUUGCUCUUUUCUUGGCUGCAGUUUUUUUCACACUAAUGACUGGAGACAGAGGAGGAGACUUCAGCACCCCUGACACAGGCAUCUUUUUAGGAUCAAAGGCCACACGGGACGAUCCGACAGGACUCACCAACAAGCUCCUAUCCAUCUUCCUGAAUUCUGUAAGUCAAAAAAAGUCAAGAAAAAUGCAUUAAAACAUGAUCCUAAAAAUUCUAACAGAUGCUUAACUUUUAAUCACACAGUAACUGCUGGUCUUGAUAAUAUGAAUGUUGCCAUUUACAGUCUCUUAUUCUGACACUAAAUGGAUUAAAGUUUCAGUCUAAUCUAGCCAGAAGCUCUAGUGCUCCAUUCACAGCUCAAUUUAAACAAAUGUGUAGUUUCACUGUGUUUUCUACAUGGUUCCUUUUUUAACUGCAUAUUUGAAUAGUUAUUAAUGUUCAUUUACAUUGAAAGCUC